UACGUAGGGGGCAAGCGUUGUCCGGAAUCAUUGGGCGUAAAGAGCGUGUAGGCGGUUCGGUAAGUCGGCUGUGAAAGUCCAGGGCUCAACCCUGGGAUGCCGGUCGAUACUGCCGGACUAGAGUUCGGAAGAGGCGAGUGGAAUUCCCGGUGUAGCGGUGAAAUGCGCAGAUAUCGGGAGGAACACCAGUGGCGAAGGCGGCCUUCUGGACCAGUACUGACGCUCAUGCACGAAAGCGUGGGGAGCGAACAGG
rnacentral:rRNA from 1 species